rnacentral:rRNA from 1 species
CCUACGGGGCGCAGCAGUCGGGAAUAUUGCGCAAUGGAGGAAGCUCUGACGCAGUGACGCCGCGUGCAGGAAGAAGGUUUUCGGAUUGUAAACUGCUUUAGACAGGGAAGAUAAUGACAGUACCUGUAGAAUAAGCUCCGGCUAACUACGUGCCAGCAGCCGCGGUAAUACGUAGGGAGCAAGCGUUAUCCGGAAUGAUUGGGCGUAAAGGGUGCGCAGGCGGUCCUGCAAGUCUGGAGUGAAACGCAUGAGCUCAACUCAUGCAUGGCGUUGGAAACUGGAGGACUGGAGAGCAGGAGAGGGCG